CCUACGGGUGACAGCAGUGAGGAAUAUUGGUCAAUGGACGAGAGUCUGAACCAGCCAAGUAGCGUGAAGGAUGACUGCCCUAUGGGUUGUAAACUUCUUUUAUAAAGGAAUAAAACGAGGCACGUGUGCCUUUUUGCAUGUACUUUAUGAAUAAGGAUCGGCUAACUCCGUGCCAGCAGCCGCGGUAAUACGGAGGAUCCGAGCGUUAUCCGGAUUUAUUGGGUUUAAAGGGAGCGUAGAUGGGUUGUUAAGUCAGUUGUGAAAGUUUGCGGCUCAACCGUGAAAUUGCAAUUGAUACUGGCAGUCGUGAGUACAGUUGAGGUAGGCGGAAUUCGUGGUGUAGCGGUGAAAUGCUUAGAUAUCACGAAGAACCCCGAUUGCGAAGGCAGCUUACUAAACUGUGACUGACAUUGAUGCUCGAAAGUGUGGGUAUCAAACAGGAUUAGAUACCCCAGUAGUC
rnacentral:rRNA from 1 species